AUUGAACGCUGGCGGCAUGCUUUACACAUGCAAGUCGAACGGCAGCAUGGGUGUUUGCACCUGAUGGCGAGUGGCGAACGGGUGAGUAAUAUAUCGGAACAUGUCUGGAGGUGGGGGAUAACGUAGCGAAAGUUACGCUAAUACCGCAUAUGCCCUGAGGGGGAAAGGAGGGGAUCGUAAGACCUUUCGCUUUCGGAGUGGCCGAUAUCAGAUCAGCUAGUUGGUGAGGUAAAGGCUCACCAAGGCAACGAUCUGUAGCGGGUCUGAGAGGAGGAUCCGCCACACUGGGACUGAGACACGGCCCAGACUCCUACGGGAGGCAGCAGUGGGGAAUUUUGGACAAUGGGCGCAAGCCUGAUCCAGCCAUGCCGCGUGAGUGAAGAAGGCCUUCGGGUUGUAAAGCUCUUUCAGCCGGAAAGAAAUCAUGCUUACUAAUACUAAGUGUGGAUGACGGUACCGGAAGAAGAAGCACCGGCUAACUACGUGCCAGCCGCCGCAGUAA
rnacentral:rRNA from 1 species